UGUUUCAUCGUUAGACGGCUCGGGC
rnacentral:ncRNA from 2 species